UACGUAUGGGGCAAGCGUUAUCCGGAAUUAUUGGGCGUAAAGAGUGCGUAGGUGGUUACCUAAGCGCAAGGUUUAAUCUUGAGGCUCAACCUCAUUCUGCCUUGCGAACUGGGCUACUUGAGUGCAGGAGGGGAAAGCGGAAUUCCCAGUGUAGCGGUGAAAUGCGUAGAUAUUGGGAAGAACACCGGUGGCGAAGGCGGCUUUCUGGACUGUAACUGACACUGAGGCACGAAAGCGUGGGGAGCAACCAGGAUUAGAUACCCGCGUAGUCCCUGA
rnacentral:rRNA from 1 species